rnacentral:rRNA from 1 species
UACGUAGGCGGAAAAUUUAGUCAGUGGUGAAAUCCCGCAGCUUAACUGUGGAACUGUCAUUGAUACUGGUUUUCUUGAAUUUAGUUGAGGUAGGCGGAAUGUGUAAUGUAGCGGUGAAAUGCUUAGAUAUUACACAGAACACCGAUUGCGAAGGCAGCUUACUAAGCUAUGAUUGACGCUGAGGUACGAAAGCGUGGGGAGCGAACAGGAUUAGAUACCCUGGUAGUCC